CACGACUCUCUCCACCAGCUUGAAUGGCUGCUCUAUCCUGGGCCGCGUCAGGGGCGUGAAGUGCACCACGCCCACGUCCACCUGCGUCGUGAGCAAAGGGGUUAUCGUGUUCUCCUGGGAGGCCUUGCUUCUAAACAUCCCUGUGGCUACAAAACUCCGCAAAAUUGGCCUGCAGUCUGUGAGGACGGAGUGUUUUCAGGGUGGUGGGGAAGUACUCGCAUAGGACGUGAGACCGCGUGGACGGGAACAGAGAAGGCGUGGUGGACCGACAGUUAUUCCGCUUCAGGGAGGGACUAUCUGUAAUGUUAAGUGUUCUCAUUAAAUUUUAAGUUUUUCA